UACAUGAAUAAAGAACUUGAAUUGGAGAAAUUCAUCACUCAUACACUUCCAUUUGCUGAAAUCAAUAAGGCUUUUGAUUUAAUGUUGAAGGGAGAAGGCCUUCGUUGCAUCAUCACCAUGGAGGACUAAAUUUACUGUCCUAGAAAAGGAGCUUCUAGCUAGUUGCUACUCUUUGAGAAAAGACCAAUAAAUUGUCACUGUCUUAUUUUCCCUUUCUUGUUUGGUGAUUGAGUUGUAACAUUCCUGUCC
rnacentral:lncRNA from 1 species